GCACUGCUGAGGAGUCCCACAAAAGGACGUAACGGCCGUCCAGUGC
rnacentral:hammerhead_ribozyme from 1 species